rnacentral:rRNA from 1 species
GUCUCCAGUCAUACCUGUCAGAACACACCCAAUCUCAUCUGAUCUUGGAAGCUAAGCAAGGUUGGUUCUAGUUAGUAAUACUUGGAUGGGAGAUACAUUGGGAAAUAAUGAUAAGAGUUG